GUUUUUUGAAGUUCUGAUAUGCGGAUAUUAUAUAUUAUGUUAAAUAACUAUAUUGUCCUCAGAGCAUGUUUAUCAUGAUCUAAUGGUUAUUUAUACCUAUUAUCAUCCAAGGAGUUCCAAGUCCAAACCAGUCUGACAAAAAAAAAUUAUUUGUAUUCUUUUUACUUUUACUUAAACAAGGUAAAUCAAUUGUAGCUUAUUUUCUGAAAGGAAAGUUUAUCUCCAUGGUUUAUUUAUUUAUUCGUAUGGCUUAACAAAUCAUUUACAGCAAAAUUAUACAGUAAAAAUAAAAUAUAAACAUAAAGCAUAAUUUAAUUAAAUUUAGAUUGAAAAGGUUAAGGUUUUAUAAAUAUAUAAUAUAAUAUAACAAUAUAACAUAACAAUGCGUAACAGUUUAUAGGUGUACGUCCAGUUCCCUUAUCCACUUUACUGCUUCAAAUAAAUAAAUCUCCAUGGUAAUUUAGAGAAGACGUUUAUUGAUUUUUCAAGCGGUAUUCAUAAAAUCUGGAAAAAUUGGGAAAAAAUGUCGGAAACACGGAAAAUGUACAUAAUGUAGGUAUUAGUAAAAAAUAUAGCCUUUUUUUUCUGUGUACAACUUUUUACUAGAUAUUUUGCUCCGAUUUACAAUGAUAGCACUUUUUCUGAAAGAAAAUCUGACUGGGAAGGUACUUGAAGUUGGUAAUUUUUCGAUUUUCUUAAUUUUCGAUAAAUGAAAAAAAAAAACGGGAAAAUCUGUACACUAUUAAACAAAUAUUAAAGAAAAUAUAUAAUGCCUAUUUAAUUA